rnacentral:rRNA from 1 species
GGGUUGUGAGGUUAAGCGACUAAGCGUACACGGUGGAUGCCUAGGCAGUCAGAGGCGAUGAAGGACGUGCUAAUCUGCGAAAAGCGUCGGUAAGCUGAUAUGAAGCGUAAUAGCCGGCGAUGUCCGAAUGGGGAAACCCAGUGCAAUCCGUUGCACUAUCGUUUGAUGAAUUCAUAGUCAAACGAGGCGAACCGGGGGAACUGAAACAUCUCAGUACCCCGAGGAAAAGAAAUCAACCGAGAUUCCCCCAGUAGCGGCGAGCGAACGGGGAGCAGCCCAGAGUCUGAAUCAGCGGGUGUGUUAGUGGAAGCGUCUGGAAAGUCGCACAGUAAAGGGUGAGAGUCCCGUACACCAAAACACACAAGUUGUGAACUCAACGAGUAGGGCGGGACACGUGGUAUCCUGUCUGAAUAUGGGGGGCCCAUCCUCCAAGGCUAAAUACUCCUGACUGACCGAUAGUGAACCAGUACCGUGAGGGAAAGGCGAAAAGAACCCCGGCGAGGGGAGUGAAAGAGAACCUGAAACCGUGUACGUACAAGCAGUGGGAGCUUCUAUUAAUAGGGGUGACUGCGUACCUUUUGUAUAAUGGGUCAGCGACUUAUAUUCUGUAGCAAGGUUAACCGUUUAGGGGAGCCGCAGGGAAACCGAGUCUUAACUGGGCGCAUGAGUUGCAGGGUAUAGACCCGAAACCCGGUGAUCUAGCCAUGGGCAGGUUGAAGGUUAGGUAACACUGACUGGAGGACCGAACCGACUAAUGUUGAAAAAUUAGCGGAUGACUUGUGGCUGGGGGUGAAAGGCCAAUCAAACCGGGAGAUAGCUGGUUCUCCCCGAAAGCUAUUUAGGUAGCGCCUCGUGAAUUCAUCUUCGGGGGUAGAGCACUGUUUCGGCUAGGGGGCCAUCCCGGCUUACCAACCCGAUGCAAACUGCGAAUACCGAAGAAUGGUAUCACGGGAGACACACGGCGGGUGCUAACGUCCGUCGUGAAGAGGGAAACAACCCAGACCGCCAGCUAAGGUCCCAAAGUCAUGGUUAAGUGGGAAACGAGGUGGGAAGGCUCAGACAGCCAGGAUGUUGGCUUAGAAGCAGCCAUCAUUUAAAGAAAGCGUAAUAGCUCACUGGUCGAGUCGGCCUGCGCGGAAGAUGUAACGGGGCUAAACCAUGCACCGAAGCUGCGGCAGCGACAUGAAUGUGUCGUUGGGUAGGGGAGCGUUCUGUAAGCCGGCGAAGGCGGCGUCGUGAGGCCCGCUGGAGGUAUCAGAAGUGCGAAUGCUGACAUAAGUAACGAUAAAGCGGGUGAAAAACCCGCUCGCCGGAAGACCAAGGGUUCCUGUCCAACGUUAAUCGGGGCAGGGUGAGUCGACCCCUAAGGCGAGGCUGAAAAGCGUAGUCGAUGGGAAACAGGUUAAUAUUCCUGUACUGAAUGUGACUGCGAAGGGGGGACGGAGAAGGCUAGGCCAUCCGGGCGACGGUCGUCCCGGUUUAAGCGUGUAGGUGGGCAGGACAGGCAAAUCCGUUCUGCUGCAACACUGAGGCGUGAUGACGAGCCGCUACGGCGGUGAAGUGGUUGAUGCCCGGCUUCCAGGAAAAGCCUCUAAGCAUCAGGUCAUAUUGAAUCGUACCCCAAACCGACACAGGUGGUCAGGUAGAGAAUACUCAGGCGCUUGAGAGAACUCGGGUGAAGGAACUAGGCAAAAUGGUGCCGUAACUUCGGGAGAAGGCACGCUGGCGGUAGGUGAAGGGCCGAGCGCCCGGAGCUGAAGCCAGUCGCAGAGACCAGCUGGCUGCAACUGUUUAUUAAAAACACAGCACUGUGCAAACACGAAAGUGGACGUAUACGGUGUGACGCCUGCCCGGUGCUGGAAGGUUAAUUGAUGGGGUUAGCGCGUAAGUGCGACGCUCUUGAUCGAAGCCCCAGUAAACGGCGGCCGUAACUAUAACGGUCCUAAGGUAGCGAAAUUCCUUGUCGGGUAAGUUCCGACCUGCACGAAUGGCGUAAUGAUGGCCAGGCUGUCUCCACCCGAGACUCAGUGAAAUUGAACUCGCUGUGAAGAUGCAGUGUACCCGCGGCAAGACGGAAAGACCCCGUGAACCUUUACUAUAGCUUGACACUGAACAUGGAGCCUUGAUGUGUAGGAUAGGUGGGAGGCUUGGAAGUGUGGACGCCAGUCUGCAUGGAGCCAUCCUUGAAAUACCACCCUUGAAUGUUCGAUGUUCUCACCCGGGUGCGUGAUCCGCAUCGGGGACAGUGUCUGGUGGGUAGUUUGACUGGGGCGGUCUCCUCCUAAAGCGUAACGGAGGAGCACGAAGGUUGGCUAAUCACGGUCGGACAUCGUGAGGUUAGUGCAAAGGCAUAAGCCAGCUUGACUGCGAGAGUGACGGCUCGAGCAGGUACGAAAGUAGGUCUUAGUGAUCCGGUGGUUCUGCAUGGAAGGGCCAUCGCUCAACGGAUAAAAGGUACUCCGGGGAUAACAGGCUGAUACCGCCCAAGAGUUCAUAUCGACGGCGGUGUUUGGCACCUCGAUGUCGGCUCAUCACAUCCUGGGGCUGAAGUUGGUCCCAAGGGUAUGGCUGUUCGCCAUUUAAAGUGGUACGCGAGCUGGGUUUAGAACGUCGUGAGACAGUUCGGUCCCUAUCUGCCGUGGGCGCAGGAAGAUUGAAAGGGGCUGCUCCUAGUACGAGAGGACCGGAGUGGACGCACCACUGGUGUACGGGUUGUCAUGCCAAUGGCAUAGCCCGGUAGCUAAGUGCGGAAGAGAUAACCGCUGAAAGCAUCUAAGCGGGAAACUUGCCUUGAGAUGAGUCUUCCCUUGACGUAAGGUCACGGAAGGAACGUUUAAGACGAAGACGUGGAUAGGCUGGGUGUGUAAGUGCAGCGAUGCAUUGAGCUGACCAGUACUAAUGAACCGAGCGGCUUAACCUUACAACACCGAAGGUGUUUUAG